AACCGCGGUGACGAAGUCGCGCACGAGCG
rnacentral:sRNA from 1 species